AGAUAUUGUGGGAGCUUAUUAUCAAACAGUCUGACUGCGUUAAGAGUAAGACAGUGGCGGAAUCUAAUGCCCAAUCCAUACCACACAACAUAUAGAUGUCAUCAUAUUAACAUACAGCUUGAAGAGAGUUUAUCAACGAUUAUCAGUCUACAAAGUGUCCUACUAGUUUUUAGUGGUAAUACUGGAGUAUAGACUUAGCCACGCUCAUAAGUUUUCUUAUCUAUAUUAAUGCAAUGAAAUCAACGCUUAUUUAAAUGAAUAUUAAAUUAAAUAUUCAUAAAGUAUGUCAAGUCUUAAGGUGAUUGAAAUGAAAAGUGAAAUAGAGACGUAAAGUGAUGCUUAAGUACCUACAGAAGCGAUAGUAAUGACCUAAGAUUAUUGCGACUAUUUCAUGCUGUUGGCUAUUGAUGAAAUGCUUUAUGUUAAUAUGAUCCCAUAUUUUAUGAUAAUAAAUUA